CGGCAUCAAUGAAAAACUAGAAUCAUUCGAGUUGUGGGUGUAUUGGGACCGUGCAAGUUUGGAAAAGCGACAUCUGGUUUCAUAGCUCGGCAACUUUUUUCGCACUUUUAAUUAUAUUGGCCAGUCAUAUUGGUCCUGGUUGCUGGAUAAUUGUCAAGGCCAUAGUCCAAAAAAAAUUAUAAGAAGAUAAAGUAAGACUGAGGUUAUGCUGAUUUUUUUUACAACAUUUUCCGUACAAUUCUUUGAGACUAUUACUUUAAUUACUAAGCUGAAGCUUGUUUUCUUCAGUUUUUCAUAGACCCACCUGCUUGUGGUGAUUAGGUACAGAUUGGUAUUCUUUUUGCUUUGGUGGAAUUGAGAGCUGAGACAAAACUGAGCAUCGGAAUCUGAAGCUAGCGAGUGUAAUGUUCUUCUUCUUGUAGUGCCUAUCCGUUUUGGAUGUUGGCGACCAUCAUGUCAAUCUGUACUUUGCACACUGCUGCUCUGAAAAUAUUUGUAGUGGUUGUGUUGAACCACGUACGUAGAUUUUUCAGCCACGAAAUCCUUCGCCUUCCUGGUCCUCACUUUCCCUCUACUUUUCCCUGUAAGACCAGUUGCAGCAGUCCAUAUCUUUCACUGUUCCUCAUGAUGUGAACGAGGUAUUCGAUUUUGGCUGUUUUUAUUUUGAUUAACAGCUCUUUUUCUUUUUGCAUUCUCAGCAAAACACCCUCAUUAGUAAUGUGGUCGGUAUAAGAUAUCUUCAGGAUUCGACGAUAAAGCCACAUCUCAAAAGCCUCAAUUUUCUUGCAGGUGGCGUCUGUGAGAGUCCACGACUCAACUCCGUACAACAGUAUAGGAAAGAUAUAACAUCGUAGUAAUCUGACUUUUAUGGGUAUCGACAAAUCAUGACAUUUGAACAACUUUACCAUUUUUUGAAAUGCAGAUAUUGCUUUCUCUAUCCUACAUUUGAUUUCUAUAGAAUGGUCCCAAUUUUCAUUGACGUUCUUACCAAGGUAGGUAUAUGUUUUUACUCUUUCUAUUUGUUGACCAUUCACACUGAUUCGUCCAAAUUGCAGUUUGUUCUUAGAGAUAAUCAUACAUUUUGUUUUCUUAGGGCCGGUUGUUCGAACGCUAAUCAAAACUGAUCAUUAUCAAAUAUUUAAUUACAAUUAUAUUUGAUUAAGCGUACUUCUGACAGACGUCGCAUUUUGAGGUUAUGUUGACUGAUUUAUUUUAUUAUUUUGGUUUUAAUUUAAAAUAAAACAUAAUUAAACUCUUUCUGAUGUUAAUUUCUUGUUUUUACUUACAAAUCAAUAAUAAUAAUAAGCAAUUUUUAAGAAUUUAAGAGCUGCGGCUAUAUUUUAAUUACUGUUUUACCUACAAUCAAUAACUGAUUAGUGUUAUACAUGUAUUUUUCAUGUCGCGAUUUGAUUCCCAUCAAGAAAAUUGAUUACAAUAAAUGAUUGAUUAUAAUCAACUUCUUGAUUAGCGUUCGAACAACCGGCCCUUAGUGUUUAGUGAAAGUCUGUAUCUCUGACUGACUUCUGCGAUUCUGUUCAUUAACUCCUGUAGGGCUUCAGAACUGUCAGCGAAUACCACAGUGGUUUAAUGUAAGUUCCAAUAAAUAAUUUUAGACAAUAUAUUGUAUUGUAGUUAAGUGAUUACUGCAUAAAUAGUUAUAUAAAA
rnacentral:lncRNA from 1 species